AUGAAGAAAGAAGCAACAAAGACGAGGACAAGGAAGCACAGAUUCCUGUCCAACCAAGAGAACAUCCACAAGAAGACAAUAAAAACCAAAAAAAGGCUCUCAAGUUUGGGAACAGCAAACCACGGAAAGAGAAGCGAGCUCCUUUGGUAUCCAGAGGUCCAGAAGGCAGUGACUGAAGGGAAAGAGGAUGUGGAUGCCAACAAGGAAGAGGUAAAGGAGAAGAUUUCCUCAUCAACCCUGAAGCUCCCACCGAGAAAUGAAGUUAACACUUAUGCUCUCACUGAUCAAACAUCCUGGAACAAUACGGUGGAAUCAGGUGUGAAGAUGCAACAGGAGACCGGAGUGGACUUAACACCAACAAAGCAAAAGCGCAGGGUCAAAGCUGCACCGGCGAAAAGUCGCAGCUCUAAACUGGAGCCAGAAAAACAGCCGUCCUGUGGUAAACAGCGGGCUGAAGUUCAUACUAAGGAAGUCAUGUCUGGGAAGCAUGAAGGACAACGUCGGGAGCCAAAGGCUAAGCCAGACAGUAAAAGCUCAACCAAAAGCGUAAAAAAAGCACCUCGAGAAAUCAAAGUGCAGUCAGCAAAUAAGCAGACGCUACCUAAAGCGAAGGAAGAUGAAGAAUCUGAAGCUAAAGCGAGACUCGGCACUAAACCAGUAGAACUUAAGGUCGUCAGUCCAGGCUUAGAAGAUAAGAAGAAAAAGAAGACUAAAGCGUCGCAUCAUGACGGGUUUUCCUCACAAAGCCCUAAAAGAACAGAGGUGCUUUCUGUCAGCGGGGACAAAUCCCCUCAAAGCCCUCAUCCUGCAGGUGCCGAGUCGCUCCCGGCUGAGGUGGACAGAAAAGAGGCUCAGAUUCUCAAGGAGCAGAAAUCGAGAUGGGAAGAGCAUUUUCAAGAUGCUGCGUCGCUUCUUCCCGCCAUGGGGAUGGCCGGCGCCGCUGCAGGGUUCCUCAGCGAGGCCAUGACCAAUGUGGUAAGUUUCCAUUCAGACAGUGACAAAGACACCCCCUCCCUGCCCAAAACGCCGCUCGGAGCCAAACGGUUCACGAGGCAGCAGGAAGUUCAGUCCAUCUCCUCCUCAGCCACACAUGUGAGCUCUAACAAAAUGGAGGAGAGCAUGACAGAAGAUGCUCCUGUGAGCUCUUUCAUAGGAGACGCUCAGGGGAAAGAAGAUGAAGAUGCUCCAGAAAGUUUAAGAAGUGAGGAUGAGGACAAGAAACGAAGGCAGACGGAGAACAGGGAGGGAGGUGACACGUGGAGCUCCACAGAGGCUGAAGAAGAGGGUAACCUGAAUGUGGGAAAGGAGGAAGAAGAUUGGAAGGAGAAAUCAAGCUCCAACGCUGACGAGGAAGAUGCUGGAAGUGAUGCAUCAGAAAAGGAGGAAGAAGAGAGCAGUAGGGAAAACAAAAAGACUCACUCAGAGGUAAGUGAAGGAGCAGAGGAGGAAGAAGAGUCUGAAGCUGAAGAGUUGAGUGAUGAAGGGCAGGAAGAGGAGGAGGAGGUAGGAGGUGAUGUGAGUGAAGAUGAAAAGGAGAGUUCAGACAGCAAGAGUGAAGAGGAAGAGGAAGGUGACACUGGUGGAUCCACUGAAAGUGAGGAAGAAAGUGAUCUUAGUGAGGAAGAGGAGGAACAAAAAGGUGAUGACUCCUCUGACAGUCAGAUGCAUGAAAUGGAGUCAGCAGAGGAGAGUCCAAGAGAGGAAGAUGACGAGGAAGAGAUUCGCUCAGCUGAAGAAGAGGCAGAGCAAACCAGUGACACGGAAAAUGAAGAAGAAGCUUCCAUAGAUGAUGAAGCAACUGAUGACAAAGAGGAAGAUGAAGAAUACUCCGGGGAGGAGGAAGAAGAAGAAAGUACAAUCGAUAAGGAAGAGGAGACCGAUGAGGGAAGGGAAGAAGAGGAACCUAAUGGUACCGAAGAAGAGGAGGAGGAGGAAAUGGAAAGUCUGGAGGAAGACGGUAAAAUCAAACAAACUGAAAGUGAGGAAGAGACAGAUGAAGAACACGACAAAGAGGGAAAGUCAGAUAAAGAAGGUAUGGAGAGUGAAGAGGAGGAAGGAGAGGAGGAAGAAGAUGAAAGUGUAGAAGAGGAGGAGGAGGAAGAUGAAGAGGAGGAGGAAGAAGUUGAGGAUGAAGAGGAGGAAGAAAAUGAAGAGGAGGGUGAAGAAGUUGGAAAGGAGGAGGAGGGAGAAGAGGAAGAAGUUGAGAAUGAAGAUGAAGAGGAGGAGGAGGAAGAAAAUGAAGAGGAGGAGGGUGAAGAAGUUGAAGAUGAAGAGGAGGAAGUGAAUGAAGAGGAAGAGGAGGGAGAAGAUGAAGAAGAGGAGGGUGAAGAAGUUGGAAAUGAAGAGGAGGAAGUAAAUGAAGAGGAAGAGGAGGGAGAAGAUGAAGAAGAGGAAGGAGUAGAAUUAGAAGAGGAGGAGAAAGAGGAAGAUGAAGUAGCAAAAACAGGAAAAGAUGAAGCACAGAAGCUUUCUUCAUUGGAUAGAAAAGCCAAACAGGAAGAAGCGCCCACGCCAGCGCCGAGGACGAAGCAGACGGCCGUGAAGAAGAAACAGGAAGACCCUCAGCAGUUCUGGAACGAUGUUCUGCCUCAAUACCUGGACAUUCAGUGA
rnacentral:lncRNA from 1 species